rnacentral:lncRNA from 1 species
AAAGAAGUGUAGUGCUGUACCAGGAAGGAACAAUGCACAUGUAAAUAAAAUAUAUGUUACUUGAAAUUGCACAAAAGUGGCUAGCCACUUGUUUUGACCAGAGGAUUGAUAUUUGAAGGAUGCUGGUAGAUAGCCCACAUUUCAAAGCAUCUUACAGACUUCUUGCCUUAACAACUGACACUGAAGUAAAGAAGAAGAUUGUGACUGUAAAAUUGGAGGUUGAGAGAACAACAUUAAGACAAGAGAAAGCGUGAACCCAGCAAACCAGUUAUGUUCCUACCUGAAGUCAGGUAAGCACUAAAUCAAAC